AACCACCUACGCGCGCUUUACGCCCAGUAAUUCCGAUUAACGCUUGCACCCUCUGUAUUACCGCGGCUGCUGGCACAGAGUUAGCCGGUGCUUAUUCUGUCGGUAACGUCAAAAUUGCA
rnacentral:rRNA from 1 species